UGGGGAAUAUUGCACAAUGGGCGCAAGCCUGAUGCAGCCAUGCCGCGUGUAUGAAGAAGGCCUUCGGGUUGUAAAGUACUUUCAGCGGGGAGGAAGGCGAUGCGUUUAAUAACCGCGUCGAUUGACGUUACCCGCAGAAGAAGCACCGGCUAACUCCGUGCCAGCAGCCGCGGUAAUACGGAGGGUGCAAGCGUUAAUCGGAAUUACUGGGCGUAAAGCGCACGCAGGCGGUCUGUCAAGUCGGAUGUGAAAGCCCCGGGCUCAACCUGGGAACUGCAUCCGAAACUGGCAGGCUUGAGUCUCGUAGAGGGGGGUAGAAUUCCAGGUGUAGCGGUGAAAUGCGUAGAGAUCUGGAGGAAUACCGGUGGCGAAGGCGGCCUCCUGGACGAAGACUGACGCUCAGGUGCGAAAGCGUGGGGAGCAAACA
rnacentral:rRNA from 1 species